AGAGAAAAGCGGACACUCUCGAAGAUGAUUCCACCGACAACGUGGACUCAAAGCCUGCCCAGUUCACAUGUCCCCACUGCACAGCUGUGCUCAGUGCACCUAAAAACUUAAAAAGACAUAUCAGAGAUGUCCAUAACAUUCACACUACACACAUGACAUGUAUAGAUGAAAUCCUGGAAAAGAAUGUGUACACCUAGAAAGAACCACAACUGCCAAACCUUAUGCAAAGCCAGCAAUCCUCACAUCUACUUCAAUACAGGACAUGCAGAGCAAAGGGCUGAUGUCAUCUGAGUGGGGUGUCAAAUGUGAAGAACUGAACAAUGCUGCAACCAAAUGUGGAGUGGAUAGUGUGUUUCCUGUUUUUGGAGAGGAGGGAAACUCCCAGCGGUGGCAUUUUUUUUUGAAUAUUCACAAAUGAAACAGACAACUGGUGUCAGUUUGGGAGGACGAGAGUGACAUUUGAUGCAGUGGCAGGAAAGUGGAACUGUCAGUGUCGUGGAACUGGACAAUCUCACCGUUGUAUCCAUCGUAUGAUGGGAAUGUGGUGGAUUUACCAGGAGUCCCCAGGCAAAAGCGCAUCCCAUGCCUGCAAGAGUUACCUGUGGAGCUCAGGACUCAGGAGAAACCACCACCACCAUUUAUCCCAUUUGAAAACACCUGCCCCUACUGUCCUGGGCCCACCCCUCCAGCACUUAAUGUCGCCAAAGUAACAACUCAAGCUAUGGUUUACGGGAUGACCUAUGUCAAAAAGGGUGUCUCUGUUGCCGUAAAAGACUGCCCAACAUGUGGAAAUGUUGUGAGGUUUCAGGAUUAUCAUUCUGGGUUCCAUAACUUCAACAACCGUGUCCUUUUAACACUGCCAUUAUGUGAGCUUCUGCUGUCUGGUCUGGCGAACAAGACAACUACUGGUCGCAUGCUGGACACUAUAUCGUUUUUUAAUGAUAAUCGGUACCACCACCAGAUAGUGCGGCGAGCUUUCCACCACUUCAUGUCAUUGACAAAUUUUCAGUUUGACUUCUCCUGCUACCAGUGUGGACACCAUCCAGCUGUGGUAGUAGCAGACGCUAACUGGAAACUGGCCUUUGAUGUCCCACUUGAGACAUUCAAAAGGCCUAAACCAGAUACAAUUUCUGACAAAAACUUAGAAGUUGAUAUUGUAAAGGCCUGGGCAGAUCUGGAUCGGUCAUUAAUUGCAGAAGGCCUCAUAUCAGGAACAUCUGUGGCAAACCCAUACUCCACCUCUCCUGGCCACUCCACUUUGGCACCAUGGAUGGGAGAGAACACCAGGGUUGGAAAUAUCCUCCCAAAAACAGAGGUGAAAAAGGCAUUAAGAAGAAAACCAGAUGACAUCAACCAUCCGACCAAAAAAAUAAAUGAGGACAUAAUCCUCGAAAUCAUUGAGGCAAAGAAGCCGCAAAAAAAGGACCUCCAGGAUGCUUGUAAUGCCCUUGGUGUGUCUUCAGAGGGGACCAUUGCAGACAUGAUGAACAGGCUUGAGGAACUGCUCAACUUCAAGGAUAUCUACCCGAAGCUUUUCUUGAAGUUACAGAAAGCUGGUGGUGGAGUCCUUCAUUUUUCUUGCGUACACGGGGUGGUAUACUACCUGAACUUUCUGUUCUGGACUGAGUCAGCAAGAGACCACACGGACGGUCUACUGAGUUUUAAGCACAAACAAUCGUACUAAACAACUUUUUUUUCAACCACAUGAUGGAAGACUCUGUGCCCCGACCUCUGAUAACCUGAAACUGGCAUCCAAGAAGGAAUUAAAAGUAGACAUGCAGUGGAUAAAGAACCUAAGGUCCCCAUUCCCAUCACAAAAAACCCAGGAUAAAGACAGACUUGAAUCAAGACAUCCAAUCACUGGGACAUGUGAAAGGUUCUCUUUGUACGACAGAUUCCACCAAAAAAAACAAAAACGGCCAGAAGAGAAGUUGCGAAGCCUUAACAUCUGCCCCAACCUGAGAACAGAGGUGAACUCAUCUGUUGCAGAGCAGUUCAAUCGUGAACUUGCUUCUGUGAGGUACUCAUUGUGCCAAAUGAAAGAGCCACAUUUUAAGCAGACAGUAAGGGUGUUCAUUGAUCUACACAAUGAAAAGAUUAACAGGAGUUUUAAGGCAGAAAUGGAGGCCUUGUGCAACAUGGAGUUAUCCAUUGGCCUGCAUGGGAUGCUGGGACUGCAGUCAGCUGAGGGGAAGGUUGGAAAUGUCAACAUACAACCUGACAGCGUUGUGAAGUCUUCCUUCUUGGCUCAAUCAUAUGACAUUGACGAUAAGGACAAGGAAAAACUCAAGAAGUUAUUAUGUGGAUCUCGUGAUGAAAAUCAAGCCCUGACUCAUUCCACAAGAAGAUACCCUGUGUCCAUUAAGGAUAUGCGCAGUGUUUGCCCACUCGAGUUGUUGGCAGAGUCUUCACUGGCUAUGCCAUGGCUGACAGAUGAUGCUGUCAACUAUCGCAUAGCACAGCUGGCUCAAGAAAACAUGGAAUGGACAAAGACUGGAGCUGUCGGAGACAACUUUGUGAAACACAUCCCUGUGUCUGACAAAAUCUUCCUGCCCAGGAUUGUAGGUCAUUCCUCUCCAGAGACAGGGAACCAUUUUAUUCUUUGGGUGUUUGACUUCAGAGCCAAAGACAUUCGGGUCUACGAUUCACUUGGGCUUUAUGCAAACAUAAGCGACAAUGACAUGGACCUCCUCAGAAAUGUCUUCAGAUUUUCUGGCGGCCUUCAAGGAUGGAGUGUGACAUAUCCUCCACAGUGGAAGCAGCAGGACUCGGUUAAUUGUGGAGUUUUCGUGUGUUCUGCAGCUGAAAAUGAAAUGCAACAUGUUGCAGUCAGUAUAGAGGCUCUGACUCUCAACCAGUGCAGGACUCUGCGGCUGCAUCAUGCUACCCAAAUGAUCAGAAAUGUCAAUGCUGAGGACUUCCCACUUACUACAGGAGACAAAUUAAAAAUGGAAGAAAAGGAAAGUAAAUUACAGGAAUCUGAAGCCAAAAAAACUGACUCCAGCAGCCAUUGCCAGGCUUGGAAAACAGAGUCGUGUUUGUUCCAGCGAGCAACAGGGACAACCAAUGUUUUCCAUAACCACAUAAAGAAAUACCAGUGGGUCCAAUGCUCAUCUUGCAAAAACUGGCUGCAUUUCGAGUGUGCUGGUGUAGAAGGAGACUGGACAUCAAAGGAUUUCUUUUGUGGAUGCAACAAUAUCCCAGAUAUAGACAACAUCCUGGAGGCUGUUAAAGCAGAAGACCUUAUGACAGAUGAAGAGAUCACGACAGACGAGAUUAUCCAGAGACUGGAAAAUAUACUGACAGUACCUGGAACUGUAGUUGAGAAGCAGCUAUUCAUAACAGAGGUCAUUUUGCCAGAGGUGUUGAUUCAGUGGUUGCAAGGCAACAGCAACAUGUGUCGUUACCAAGCAGAAUCUGUGCUUCUAACCACCACACCUUCAAAGACAAAGAAAGGAGCUGCAAGAAAUGAAACAGAGACCACCGAAGAGGAAAACCUUCUGAUCCUACAUAGCCUGGCUGCAGCUGACUGGUGCGAUAAGGCAACAUUCAAUGGAGGACUGAAACUCCCUGCUGUCCUUUCAAUGGACAGAGAAGAAAGAAAAGAAGCCAUCCAGGAGAUGGACACCUGGGAUGGGGAACUGGAUCAGGAUUCUCCAGCAGAACUCUUUACAUUUGUUUUUGAAAAAAAAAAAAGACUACGACAACUUCUAUGA